UACGUAGGGGGCAAGCGUUGUCCGGAUUUAUUGGGCGUAAAGAGCGUGUAGGCGGCCAGAUAGGUCUGCUGUGAAAACUCGAGGCUUAACCUCGAGAUGUCGGCGGAAACCAUCUGGCUAGAGUCCGGAAGAGGAGAGUGGAAUUCCUGGUGUAGCGGUGAAAUGCGCAGAUAUCAGGAAGAACACCCGUGGCGAAGGCGGCUCUCUGGGACGGUACUGACGCUGAGACGCGAAAGCGUGGGGAGCGAACAGG
rnacentral:rRNA from 1 species